rnacentral:lncRNA from 1 species
CUGAGACUGGGUAAUUUAUAAAGAAAAGUGGUUUAUUUGGCUUACGGUUCUACAGGCUGUAUGAGAAGCAUGGCACCAGCAUCUGCUGCUGGUGAGGCCUCAGGAAGCUUACAAUCAUGGUGGAAGGCAAAGCGGACCUAGUGUGUCACAUGGCAAGAGAGGGACCAAGCAAGAGAGAGAGAGAGGAGGUGCCAGGCUCUUUUAAACAACCAGAGAGAGAGAGAGAGGGAGAGAGAGAGAAAAAGAGAGAGGAGGUGCCAGGCUCUUUUAAACAACCAGAUCUCACGUGAACUCAGAGUGAGAGCUCACUCACUACCAUAAGGACAGUACCAAGCCAUUCAUGAGGCAUCUGCUCCCAUGACCCAAACAUCUCCCAUUAGGCCCACCUCCAACAUUGGAGGUCACUUUUUUUUUUUUUUUUUUUGAGAUGUAGUUUCGCUCGUUGCCCAGGCUGGAGUGCAAUGGCACAAUCUUGGCUCACUGCGACCUCUACCUCCCAGGUUCAAGUAGUUCUCCUGCCUCAGCCUCCCAAGUAGCUGGGAUUACAGGCAUGUGCCACCACGCCUGGCUCACUUUUUGUAUUUUUAGUAGAGAUGGGGUUUCACCAUGUUGGCCAGGCUGGUCUCGAACUCCUGACCUCAGGUGAUCCACCCACCUUGGUCUCCCAAAACGCUGGGAUUGCAGGUGUGAGCCAUCACGCCCGGCCUGAGGUCACAUUUUAACACGAGAUUUGGAAGGGACAAAGCAUCCCAACCGGCUGGGCGCAGUGGCUCACACCUGUAAUCCCAGCACUUUGGGAGGCCGAGGCAGGCAGAUCACAAGGUCAGGAGAUCGAGACCAUCCUGGCUAACACACUGAAACCCCGUCUCUACUAAAAACACAAAAAAUUAGCCAGGCGCAGUGGCGGGUGCCUGUAGUCCCAGCUACUCAGGAGGCUGAGGCAGAAGAAUGGUGUGAACCCGGGAGGCGGAGUUUGCAGUGAGCCGAGAUCGCGCCACUGCACUCCAGCCUGGGCGAUAGAGCGAGACUCCGUCUCAAAAAAAAAAAAAAAAAAAACCAUCCAAACCAUCUGAUCAUCCUUGCGCAGGGGCCAUGCUAAUCUCUGUAUGUUCCAAUUUUAGUAUAUGCACUGCGGGAAGAGAGUACUCACUUUUUAUUUUGAUACAAUUUCAAACUUACAGAAAAGUUGAAUGUACAAGGAAUUUCCAAAUACCUUUUCCCCAGAUUCACUGACGUUACCACAUUAUGUGCAUGUGCUUGCUCUCUCUCCCUCUGCUUUUUCUCUCUGCAUAUAAACGCAUUUCCUAAGAAUAAACACAUAACCAACCAAAGAAUAGAGUUUCUAUUAUUUGUACUAUUUUCACAAAUAAAAAGACUGAGGAAAGGUGUGCUCUUUUCCUGUGAUCCUGGGCCACAAUUUCACCAGGUUCAGGAUGCAAGGCCCUUUUCUGUAUUCUUCGGACCUCUGUCAUCUGAAAACACCGGCAAACCACCACUCCAGUGAUGCUGCCAUGUGUUAAGCUUCCCCUUAAGACCCCUGGCAGAGAGUAGCAUAUUGUGCACCAAGGUUGUGUGGGAAAAGGGGCUGAGAUGAAGCCACCCCUGCAGAGCGGCAGCUUCUAGUGUACGUGUGGGUCCACAGAGGUUUCUGUGACCCUGGAAGCCUGUCCAGCUGAGCUGACCUUCACCAGGGAAGAGAAUCUCCAGACAAAGGCACUUAGCUGCCUACUGGGUCCCCACCGAAAGACUGCUGAAAAUAUUUCUUCAGAAUGCUGAGCGCUGAAUACCACUCAGCACGUGCUGGAGCCAGAGGUGGUUAGACACGAGUCUGUCCUUGGAAAUCCCAGGCUCAGAGCCACCAUUAUGCAAAGAGGACUGUUGAGGGGUUUUCUUUUACUUUUCUUUUCUUCUCUUUUUUUUAAUAGUUUUUUGAGAAAUGGGAUCUGUGCUAAGGGCUUUGGGCAGGCCAGCUAGGAGGACGGAAGAAGUUUCCCAUUCGCUUGUGGACAAGGCCUGCACCCAUAUAAUCAACUCCAACCCACCUCCGUCAUCACCAGGGUAACAUCCCUGCCCAAUCUCUCCUCAGGCCUUCUGCAUUACCAGACCUGGUGUCUUCCCCUCCCUGGAUUUGAGGGCCCUGGACUCUUUGCAGCCUCUACCUCAUGCCCAACCAGGACAAGCCUUGAGCACAGGCAAAACAGAUUCCACAGUCUGCAUCCCAUGGCAAAGAAUUUCAUG